rnacentral:rRNA from 1 species
GGUGACCUGCGGAAGGAUCAUU